CGUGUAGGCGGCUAGGUAGGUCCGUUGUGAAAACUCGAGGCUCAACCUCGAGACGCCGGCGGAAACCCCCUGGCUAGAGUCCGGAAGAGGAGAGUGGAAUUCCUGGUGUAGCGGUGAAAUGCGCAGAUAUCAGGAAGAACACCCGUGGCGAAGGCGGCUCUCUGGGACGGUACUGACGCUGAGACGCGAAAGCGUGGGGAGAAC
rnacentral:rRNA from 1 species